rnacentral:rRNA from 1 species
UAUAUGUAUUUUUAUUAAUAUUUGGUAUUGCAUACCGCUUUAGGAAAAUAACAAAUUUUUGUCUUAUAGAAUUAAAAGGAAGACCUAACUUAAGAUUUACUGUUGCAUCAGUCUAAUAAAAGGUAAAGGUAGUGCUGAUAAAUCGUCUUUUAAGAUAUCUGUUUCUUUAUUUUUAUUAGAAUUUUAUAAUUUUCAUACUUGAAGUCGGCUGUAUAUCCUCUGCAAUAGGAGAAAUAAUGGUGUACUAAUAUUUACUUAUAUAAAAUUUUGUAUUUUGUGAAUUUAAAUGAACUUUUUUAAUUAAUUUAUCUAAAGAUUAGUAACUUUUAUUUUAAUAUAGUUAAAACUUAAAAUUUAUAGCGUGAAAUCAAUAUUUUCCGGGUUACUGUUUUUUAAAGACUCAGUCUGUUAUUUGAUAGAUUGCUCCUGCUCAAUGAAUUAAAUUAAAUAGCGUUCUUAUACCUGAGGAGCACAAUGUAGCGCAAUCACUUGUUUCUUAAUUGGAUUCAUGUAUCAACGGAGGUAGAAACCCGAUGCUUUGCUUUAUUUUUAGUGAAUUUUAGUUAAUUUAAGAAUUAAUUAGUUAAAUUUAACAAAGAUAAGCCUUCGGAAACUUUACUAGAAAAUCUAUUUUUAUAUUUUCUUGGACACCUAGGGUAGGUUUUUAUGUAAUAUAAUAAUCUUUAAUACUUUUAAAAGUUACUCCGGAGCUAACAGAAUAACGAUUCUUUCCCAGCACUUAUGGGAUAGACAAGUUUUACAUCGAUGUUGUAUCCUACAGCGGCAAGAAGGAUAAGCUUUGCCAGAAGAGUUUGUUCACCUUUAGUAGUAGACGUGAUACUAGUUUAGUUCGUCGCGAGGCAGAACGGUUUAUCUUGUAAAUUUAUUAUUUUAAAAUACCUUCAGUACGGGAGGAACUUGGU